rnacentral:lncRNA from 1 species
GUCACUCUCCCUUCCAUGCUGCCGUGUCCCUCUGGGAGGAGAUGUCUGCAUUAGCACCAGCCAAACCCAAGACUCCAAAAUUAGGGAAAUGAACAAGCUGAGUCACCUGUUAGGCACCACUUUUGUUCUCACUCCUUGCAGCAGCUGAGGAGUGCCCUGGGGACCGUGCUGUGCCAGGUACCACGCUGCUCUGCAGCAGGCGGCCUUUUCCCCAAAACACUCGGGAGCAAAGAGAAGGGCUGGUGGCAAAGUGACUGAUUUGCUCUCAACCUUAGCUCCUAUAUAGAAAUAAGUGGUGCCAAAGUACAGAGGAGAAUUGAGGGGUUUUACCCCUGCUGCCAGCCCUGUCCCUAGCUCCUGAACCCGUUACUGCCUCUGGGCCCACCUCAAGCCCUCAGAAAAGCAGCCUGCUGGAAGCAACCACGCGUGGGACUCCCAAAAUAUCCGGCUAUUCUGACAAUUUUUCCUUGAAUACACUCCAGCACAGUGUGCACGUAUUUACUUGGUUUACCCAGGGGCACACCACCGACCAGCACAGCCCAGGGCCAGCACACCUGCCUCUCCCCUGGGAGCAGGGGGAGUACCUCCCCUAGAGAAAAAAUUCAAAUUUGGGGAGAAAGUUUUGAUGUUCAUGGGAAUGUUUCAAGCAAAUAGUGGAAGGACGUGUGAAUGCUGCUGAGCUAUGAAAUGCCCUGGCCAUGGGGUGCUGUCACCGCCUGUACCUCUGUACAAAGGCACUUCCCUGCGUGCCCUGAGCAAGCUGUGCGUGAUCUCCGCGAGGCGGAACCCCGGCUACGUCAGGCCAGCCAGGAGAAAGCAGAACUGGCUGGAAGGCCACCACUUCUUCAAUCCAAAGGAUACUGAGCGCACAUUGGCCACAAAAGGGGUGGUGUCCUUCUUAUACCAGCGCCGUGCCAUCCCCAGACAGAAGAGGGAUUGUUAAUGGUGCAGCGGGGAGAUCUCCUGUAAAUCUCCAUAGGAACAUUUGAGUUCAGACCUAUUUCCACAAAUUUUCUGCAAGAAUUUUGGUCAGGACAUCGAUCACCUCGGAUUUUCUCCUAGCUGGAGACACCAGCUCUCACCCUAGCGUACUCUGAUUCAAUUGAAUAGCUCACCUGCAAGACUGAACAUUAAAUAAAUGUUACUGCUUUCAGAUAGAGAUUCUUUUU